rnacentral:rRNA from 1 species
AGCAGCCGCGGUAAUUCCAGCUCCAAUAGCGUAUAUUAAAGUUGUUGCAGUUAAAAAGCUCGUAGUUGAAUUUCAGGCCUGGCUGGGCGGUCCGCCCUUCGGGUGAGUACUGCCUGUGGUCGGGUCCUACCUUCUGGCGAAGCGUCAUGGCCUUCACCGGCCGUGGCGGGGAACCAGGACUUUUACUUUGAAAAAUUAGAGUGUUUAAAGCAGGCUAACGCUUGAAUACAUUAGCAUGGAAUAAUGGAAUAGGACGUUUGAUCCUAUUUUGUUGGUUUCUAGGAUCGACGUAAUGAUUAAUAGGGAUAGUUGGGGGCAUUAGUAUUCAAUUGUCAGAGGUGAAAUUCUUGGAUUUAUUGAAGACUAACUACUGCGAAAGCAUUUGCCAAGGAUGUUUUCAUUAAUCAAGAACGAAAGUUAGGGGAUCGAAGACGAUCAGAUACCGUCGUA